rnacentral:rRNA from 1 species
AUUGAACGCUGGCGGCAUGCCUUACACAUGUAAGUCGAACGGCAGCGGACCUUCGGGUGCCGGCGAGUGGCGAACGGGUGAGUAAUGCAUCGGAACGUACCUUUCAGUGGGGGAUAACGUAGCGAAAGUUACGCUAAUACCGCAUAUUCUGUGAGCAGGAGAGCAGGGGAUCGCAAGACCUUGCGCUGAUUGAGCGGCCGAUGUCAGAUUAGCUAGUUGGUGAGGUAACGGCUCACCAAGGCUACGAUCUGUAGCGGGUCUGAGAGGAUGAUCCGCCAAACUGGGACUGAGACACGGCCCAGACUCCUACGGGAGGCAGCAGUAGGGAAUUUUCCACAAUGGACGAAAGUCUGAUGGGGCGAUGCCGCGUGAAUGAUGAAGGUCUUCGGAUUGUAAAGUUCUGUUGUAAGGGAAGAAAAAGAAUGAUAGGAAAUGAUCAUUAAUUGACGGUACCUUACCAGAAAGCCACGGCUAACUACGUGCCAGCAGCCGCGGUAACAC